GGGAUGGGGCAGCCACAGCUUCUCUGGGCAUGCUGUGUCAGUGUCUCAGCACCCUCACAGGGAAGAGCUUCUGCCUAAGAUCUCUCAGUCUCCCCUCUGGCAGGUAGGAGCCGUUUCCCCUUGUUCUGUUCCUCCCCAGAUUUCUUGUCAGCCCUUUUAGGUAUUGGAAGACUGUUACAAUGUCUCCCCUGAGAUGAUGGAAUGUCCCUUCGUAUCUUGCCAGCAUCAUCUAAAACGGGUUCUGGUGUGCCUCUGGCUGACUUACGAAACCCUCCAACUGCUCCUUGUCUCAGUUGCCCUGUCUGGUGGUAAAAAGGAGCAUUUACUGCCAGCAUCUCCUCCCCCUCUUCAAAGGGCUGGGAAGCACCACAUGCUAGCGCAGUGCAGAAGGCUGUUACAUUGCUCACUGUAAAGACAGUCCUGAAGUCGAUCUGCUCUUCUGCUCUCAUGUCCCUGGGCUCUGUGUCCUUCCCAAGCUGCUGUCUGGUGCUGGGUCUCUGCACUCUGUGACACUCAUUGCCUUUUGAUCCCUGCCUGCUUCGUGCUCACCACUCACUCCCGCCCAGUAAAGUAAGAUUUGUGCUGCAAGAUAAGAUAUGAAGCAUGCUAUAUUUGGGUAUGUGAAAAUAAAACUUGAUCAAGUGGUAGGCUGAUCAUUAAUGGAAAGACAGCAGAUGACUUGCCAAGGCCCUAGGCUGAAGGAUCCCCAUGUGAAGAUGCCAACUGCAGGGGAACUAGAGCCACAACUCUUCUACUAUACCAGGGCAAGAGGGGCUUGGUGUGUAUCUCAAACAUGAUUGCUCCCUGCACUCCAGUGUGACUGAUAGAAGUAGAUUGUUCUGCUGUGCCUCAGUUUUCCUAUCUGCAAGAAAAGGCUGAACACAGUCCACCCCUGAAAGCGUGAAUUCAGCUCACCACUGUUUGAAAAUGACGUGAAGAAACUCAAGGCUGGUGCUGUUGAAGAGACAGCAUCCUUUGUACAGGAGAAAGCACGCAGCAGGGAACAGGACUGAGUUCAAAAGGCAGAUGUGAUCACUUUGCUGUCCAGCUCCAAGGGCUGUCACUGAGGGGUUUGGGCAGACAGACCCUGUCUGCUCUCAAGGGGAUGAUUUAGUCCAUUGCUCCUACAGCCAUCAGAGCUGAGGGAUGAUAAGGAAAUACCAUUACCUUUUUGAUGGAGUGCUCCGCAGGAGCUGAGGCAGGGCACAGUCCAGUUCUGCUGACUCUGCUUCAGAGGUGUCGAAGCCCCAGGAAACCAAGACAGCAGCAACAAGCCAACAACAAUACAUCAUUCCUGGGCUGGCCUGACUGUGAUUCAGCAGAAGAGAUCGAUGGAGGCUUGGCAGAGCAGACAUGAGCUGUGGAAAGCUUACCUUUGCUUAGGCCACAGGGCCCCUGGGAGGUGUUCUUCAGGAGCCCUGAGCGAUGCUGGAGCCUUGAGGGAUGCCAGAGCUGCAGGGAGACUGGAGCAGCAGCACUGCAAGCCUUGGAUGCAAAAGAGUGGAGAAGGUGUGGAAAGUGACCUAUGUAGAGCCAGAGCAGCUCCCAGCCAGAUAGCCAGGGGAAUUCACCUGUGAACCUCUCGUAUUUGGAGCACCUGGUGCCCACAGUGUUGAUGCUCUGCAGAAUAGGAGGUCAGGCAGCAAAUGCCAUAAUGCCUGUAGGGGGGAAUUGUCCCUGAAAGGUGCUGUUUUAAGAGGGGUCUCACAGAUAAGAUGACCCAUUCUUGCUGUAGUCCAGGCUCUCACGGCAGGGCCAUGUGGGUCCUGGCCUCUAAAGGGGCAGGAUUUUCAUCUCGCAUCAGGAUCCUCUGAUGGGAUACUGGCCCCUGCACAGCUAAGAGGCUGCAGGCAGAGCCCUGCUGUUUCGAGGAUGUUAGGGCAGACCAGCACUGCUCUUACUAUAAAAAAGAUCUGCUUAGCCGAACUGCUGCAGAAGAGCUUCAAAGCAGCCAUAAAUCAGCCUCAGAGCAGCCACGGCUGGGUAUGGACCCUUGCACAAACCUCUGCUGCCUCCUUGCACUGUAGAAGUGAGGAGUAGGGGCUGGAGAUGACCCAGUCCCUGCUCCAAAGAGACCUACCUGCAGGGACAUUUGGUGGAUUACUCAGCCAUAACCAGGGCAGGAGGCUGUGCCAAGCACGGUCCCUCUGGACCUUGAUUUUGUGCAGUGUUUCUCUCUUUGAAGCUGGAAUGAUGAUGGGCUUUGGCUCUGGUCCUGGAAGAACUGGGUACAACACAUACCUGGAGCACAGACCUCCUCUGCCCAAGGGCUCUAAACAUUGUCUAUGUGAACUGCUUCAAGCCCUGUGCCCAGUGCUGGAAGCUCCCUAGGCCACCGACCAAAGGGGUUUGACUCAAGCAAUAUCAAACUUCACAGAACACCCGGGUCAUACCCGCCUACAGCCCCUCAGCUGGCACUGCCCCAUGGCCAACCCUGACACAGGACCUGCUGAAACAGGAGCCCUGCAGAAUUGUACCCUGGCGCUGGCAGGGCCCUGCCUUUGCACUCGUGAAUCUCAUUUGCACACUAUUUAUACUCCACGGGUCAGCAUGGAGGUGUCGCUCUCUAUUAAUAAAGGGCUAUGCUAGC